ensembl:lncRNA
CUCCUCGGGGCCCGCCCCCGGGCCCGCCCCCACGCCCUGCUCUCACAAGCUCAUAGGCUGCGGCGCGCGCUCCUCACCGCUAAGGCGGUGGUCUGUGCUGCCGUCCCGCCCCCUGCUCUGUUUUCUCCGGGGUGCCACUCGGUCCCGCGGGCCUGCAACCCCCACCGCCCAGUGGCCGCUCAGGUGUCACAGAGGAGAUAAGAGGAGUCGGGAAAACUCAAGAGAGGUCGCCUUUUCCUUGUUCACACGUGUACGCAGUCACUGGUGGAGAUAGGUGACAUUAAAAGUCUUGCUCCUUUCACUUAGUCACUUGGUGCUCAAGUGUUUCUCAGUGUAGCUCUGGAACUGGCUUUGAAGACCAGGCUGGCCUCAAACAUCUGUCUUCGUCUGCAUCCCAAGUGCUGAGAUUAAAGAUGUGAUCCCCUACCACCUGGCGCGUUGUUCUCCUCAUUAAUAUUCAGUGUUCUAUUUUAUCUCUUCUUAUGAAUUUUGCUUGAGACUUACUCCAUCAAAUACUAAAAGAAAAUCUGUGCAGGUAUUUUUUUAUUUCAUUUGAUUCACUUCCAUUUUUUGACUUUCCAUUUGUGGCUAUCUUUGUUAGUGAGGUAUGUUUCUUGGAAACAACAGCUAAUUGGAUUUAAAAAAAAAAAAAAAUCCGGUUACACACCAAGAAAACAAUGUCUUCUGGACAUAAAGAUAUGAACUCACAGAGACCGUGGCAGCAUGCACAAAGGCUACUGGUUCAAGCCAGUUGGGGUCCCAGUCUGAGUGAGAAAAGUGGACAUGAGCUCCCAUGUAUAACCAAGAAGCUAUCUUCCAUUGACAACCAUUUGUAAAGAAAAAAUUAGUUUUCUCCAAUGGCAUUUCUCAGAACAUAUAUGCCAUACUUAAGGAUAGGCCCCAUGCCCAGCAGGAGAUGGCCAACACAAAAAGUAUUCAAUAAUAUAAAUGGAGUUUCUGUCCUGCCUGGUCCCACAGCUGUUUAGCCCCAAAUAAACACACAGAGGCUUAUAUUAAUUAUAAACAGUAUGGCUAGCUCUGUCUUAGUUAUUAACCCAUAACUAUUAAUCUGUAUAUCUUUACAUGGCUUUUAUCUUACCGUCGAAUAUCCUACCUUCCCUGGGUCUACAUAGCGUCCCUCUAGUGGCUCCUCUCUCUCUUCCUCUUACCAGCAUUCUCCUAGUGUGGUAGCCCUGCCUAUACUUUCUGUCUGGCUACCAGCCAAUCAGCAUUUACUCAUCAAUCAAUAAGAAAAACAUGUAUUCACAGCAUACACAAGGAUAUCCCCCAUCACAAUAGUGUUUUUGUAGAUUUUUUUUUGCCUCAUAUUGUCUUGUUGGGGCUUUUUUUUUAAUCUUACUGGUCUUUUGUUUGCAUAUUAUGGUUUCCAAUUUUCUAUUUUUAUAGGUUUCAUUCUUGUGUGUGUGUUUCUUGUGCUUACAUUUUGUUUUGUUUGUUUGUUUGUUUAUAUAUGCCUUAAAAAGUCUAGAGUUAGAUAUAUAGGGAUGUGGGGAAGAUCUGGAAGGAGAUGCAGGAGGAGGAAACUAUGAUCAGAAUAUAUUGUAAAUUUUUAAUAAAAUAAGUGAAUAAAUAAAAAUAAAA